ensembl:lncRNA
AGCGCAUGCGCAGCGGAAACUGGACAGCCUCUGGAAAUCUUUGAAUGUUUAGGGUCAAGUGUAAGGUAUUUCUAACUUCAGUAAGAGUUUGGCCUUGCCAAGAAAGGCAUUCACAGGUAUCAGCCUCUUAUAGACUAUGGUCCUUACUACGGAUCUACUUAUAUUCCAGGAAUUUGCUGUAAGAUUUUUAACAGCAGUUUUAAAAGUCAGGUUUACGUUCUUAUUUGAAGAAAUAUCAGUGUUGUGUUUGAAACAUAACAUAUCACCAUAUUUUACUUUCCGUUUUGAGACUCAGAUCAGAUGUUUGCAGCUUUCCACAUGCAGGGUAACUAGCUGUAUAAUAAUUCCUCUUUGUGACUUUUUGUAGGAAUAGUUAACAAAGCAGACCCAUUUCAGUAAUGAUACUUAGCCAUUGGAGUGGCUGUUAUAAAAAAUGUGGAAAAUAUCGGUGAAGAUGAGAAGAAAAUGAAGCUCUUGUGCAUUGCUGAAGGGAACAUCAAAUAUGACAGCAGUGGAAAGAGUUCCGUGGUUCUACAGAAAGUAAAACAUGGAAAUAUCAUAUGAUCGAGCAAUUCUGCCUCUGAAUAUAUCCCCAAAGAAAUGAAAAAGGGACUCAAACAGAUCAUAGCAGUGUUAUUCACAAUAGCCAAAAGAUAGAAAGAAACCAGAUGUCCAUCUACAGAUGAAUGAAACAGAUAUAACAUGAAAUAUACAUAUAUAUAUAUAUAUAUGUAUGAAUUUACAAGAUUGGCUUACAAUGGCCACUCACAGAGUCAGAUGUAGAAGAGUGCAGAGGAUUUGUCUGCACACUGGAGACCGAAGGAUUCAGUUGGAGGUCUGGAGCUCACUGCAGAGUCGGUAUCAAGAGGCUGAUGGGUCUGUGAUGGAAGGCUGAAGAGUUUACAUGGGAAGGCUGCAAAGUCUGAGCUGGAAGCUGAAGAGUCUGCACUGGAAGCCAGGAGAUGACGUCCAAAAUGAGGGCGAAGCCUGGAGCUCCUCCAAGGAAACAAGCAGAUUGAUCCUUCUCCAUCUCCCCUUUACACCGUCCGGCGACAGCCACCCUAGGAUGGAUCUUCCACACCCUAGGGUGUGUAAUUGAGCCCAUUUAGCUGAGCUUCUCUUACUCAACUUGAUGCAAUCAAUCAACUGUCACGUGUAUAUUUUGCUGCAAUUCUGAAACAAUAAAAAGAAUCAUCACACUUGGAACUUGAGAUGAUCAGGGUGCCACGGUAGCCCUUGGGAUGAACUUUAUCCCCAGCUCACCAAGCGUUUGUUUCCUGCCUCCUAAGGUUAAUACAGACGACUACUUUCCUUGAGGGAAAUACUUUUUAGCUUCAGAUUAAGAAAGAUACCUUGAACGAAUGAAAACACACUUUAUCUGCUGUAACUCUGUGCAAUAAGGUAACGAGAGUCCGUGACUGUACAUGCUGUACUUUGUGAAGCAGAAACAUCUUUUUGUCACCUCUGCCUUCCAAAUGUGUGCUCUCUCAUUCCACCAGAGAUUUACCUCUCUGCAAGAAAUGUCCCCUCCAACUUGCUACCUCAGGAAGUCCCUCCCAUCCUGUAAGUAAAGCUUUGCAGGAGUAGGACGUCCUCCUUUGCUCUCACAUUUGUAACAGAGAUCUCACAAGUGGUUUAUGUGAUGACUGCACAACGCGAUGGAGAAGAGAUCAUGGGCACACAGAGCACCCGGACUCAAGGGAGAGCAGCCCGCUCUGUGACCUGGACAGGGAC